rnacentral:pre_miRNA from 1 species
GUCUUGCUCCGAAUGGCACUUGAAGAAUUCACGGGUAUUUUGUGUAACCCCGUGGUUCUCAUGUGCCGUGCGGUGCGGAUG